GUUUGGUCUUGAGUGCAGUGGUGUUUACAACUAAUUGAUCACAACCAGUUACAGAUUCCUUUGUUCCUUCUCCACUCCCACUGCUUCACUUGACUAGCCUGAA
rnacentral:Y_RNA from 1 species